rnacentral:lncRNA from 1 species
GUGCUGAAGGACCGCUUUUCCCCUCAAUCUGCCCUGGACUGAUACCAGAAUACAAAUGUGCUACAUGUGACUGACCACAGGAGUUUGACAACACCUGAACUGCUCUUUGCCCUGUUCAACAAGGGGAGUCUACUGGCCAUUUGAGAAGCCUGAGCCUCAGAGGAGGAAGUGACUCCUUUCAUUUAUGCUGCUGGCAUCUGGUGAAGCUUGGUCUUGGCAUUCAGAUUUUGGCCAUUACAAACAGUGCCGCUGUGAACGUUUUGCUGCCUGUCUUCCAGGUAGACACAGCUCCCACAGAAACUCUCUGCACCGCCCCGCUGCAGCCAGGGUUGAGGGAGGAGUGGUGUCAGCGAUUCAGGACUGUUUUUCUAUCUCUUCAGUGCCUCUUUCAGUGAUAUGAAGUUAAAACCAGGUACUAUGAGUGCUCACUUUAUUUGGGGUUCUCAUGAAGGUGUUUUUUCUGUGUAGAUAGUUACUAACUCAGUGUCCUUGUGGGGGUGGAUUGGGGGGGCAAUGGUGGAAACUCUUAUUCCAUCAUCUUGCAUUUCCUCUUUUUUCCCUCUCUAAACAGACCAGAAUGUGCCUCUGAAUGCUAUUUUUAAUUUAUUAAAUUAAAAUGUGAAAGUUAUGAUUUAUUACUUGGUAGGCCUCGAUAUGUUAUUUUUUUUCAUUCUCAUUAGUUAAUAAAGAUGCCAACUCUUAACUAAACUGAGAAAAUUUACCAAACUGCAUGUCAGUUAAACUUAGUUGCUUUGAUUUGCUUUGUUUUGGCUUUCUUUUAUCCCUUUGCAUUUUUAAUAAUGCAAAGGAAUAAAAGGAAGUAAAAAAGUACAUUGAAAUAAUGAGCAUUGAAAUAAUAAUCCUUCUAUGAAUUCAAGCAAUGCAUUCAGAGUGGAGUCCAUGGUGUACUUACCCUCACGUCCUGGCUGUCCGUCUAGUGAACAACACUCGUGCACACUCUUAAUAGUAGCUGAGAUAGGCAUUUAGUUUUUUGAGCAAGAAAAGACACUUUAGCAAGUUAGGGAAGAAAGAAGUAUUCUAUUUCUAUAAAUGUAUGCAAUGUUGUUUGACACAUCAGCUAUAACUACCCUUUUAAAACAUCUACUAUGUGUCAGUGCUAUGCAAAGUAUAAUGUGGCUUAUUUAAAAUUUCUGCAACAGGCCGAGCAUGGUGGCUCAUGCUUGUAAUCCCAGCAUUUUGGGAGGCUGAGGUGGUGGAUUGAGGUCAGGAGUUUGAGACCAGGCUGGCCAACAUGGUGAAACCCCAUCUCUACUAAAAAUACAAAAAUUAGCCAGGCAUGAUGGUGCGUACCUGUAGCCCCAGCUACUCAGGAGGCUAAGGUAGAAGCAUCACUUGAACGUGGGAGGUGGAUGUUGCAGUGAGCUGAGAUUGAGCUACUGCACUCUAGCUUGGGUAACAGAGAGAGACUCUGUCUCAAAUAAAAA